rnacentral:lncRNA from 1 species
CUUUAUUGAGUGACUUCCAGAUCUCUUGAAGGAGCCGGCUUGAUUUGGUAGACAAAUUUCAUGGAAAAACGACACUCUUGCGUGUAUGCUAACUAUCUCAGCUGGUCCAGGGAUUUGCCAACAAUGUAAAUAGCCUUAAAGAUACGUCCCAACAACGUCCCUGUCCUCCCAAAAACUACACUCAACAAACACGCCCUCUCCAUUCUAAUCUGGUCUCAGUGACGGAUGCUCUCACUCCCUUUACCGAUGAGCUCAUGACAGACAUGGAUGUUGUCAGCGUACUGCUUCCAAGCUGAAGCUAAACUUUUGGGAUAAAAACUCUUUGGAAGACAACAGCUAAGGAAGUGAAACCUUCCAAACAGUUGGCGGAUUGUGGAAUUGGAAUUUUAUCCAGUUACUGUGACAUUUGUAGGAAACCAACCCGCUGUUGAGAGUAAGGAUGUGGACCAGAGCUUUCAUUUUUCUGAUUGCAACUAUUUACUUCAAUCAGGUUAUUUCCGGAGAGAUCUACGUAGCCGAGCUGACGGUGGAAAGUAACGUCACGUUGGAAGCCAGCACCAUCCUGUCAAGCUGGACUGAUGGCUCAGUGUUUCAAGUCACAUCUGGCUCGACCCAUCAAGUGACGCUAGAAAGCAGAGAAAUUACUGCAGAAUGCGUGGUAAUUGGCGACGAGUACAAUUGCAGCUGCUCUGGUGGAUAUGUGUGGAGCAAUGAAGUGUGCUACGACUAUGAAUGCUGCAACAACACUGCUUGCCUUAAAAAUGUGUCUCUAGUGGCUCCGCUCUGCAUUCCUCCAGUCAAUGUUAGCCUCAAUGGAACAGCUAUUCUGAGUGCUACAGUGAAGGGAACUGAGACGACUACGAUCCAAGAUCUUUUGACAAAGCUCAAUGGUGUGAUAAACAUAAAUGUACUUCCUCCAAGGUCUUCUCCAACAAUAAACAACAACAUUAUUGAUUUUAUUGCAAAUGCCAGUGUCCGGUUUAAUACCACUAAACUUCAAGAGAUUGUGACUAAACUGAAAAGUGACCUGGGAGCUCAAUAUACUUUUGUCGACACUCAUGGGAUGGUCACCAUUGUUGCCCCGAAUAAUACCGUGGAUUACAAGUCAAACCAAAGUCUUAGGUGUGAGUUUGAUGAGAGCACGGACUUCAGUGGCUGGAACCUGAGCAGACCCUAUGAGCGCUUUGAGCUCAACACUGGCAGACAGGUCACCCUGUUGCCGUGUAGCUCUGCAAAUUACCCAUCUUGUAUCAAUGUUACACUCUAUAAUUUGACGGGCAUUUUGGCAGGUAUAUAUGAAUGUGGAUUUACAAAGGGUUUGGUCAGGCACACUGCCAGCACAAAACUGGAUGUGGCUCUCCUGCCGGAUUCCAUCACCAUGACAACAGAUCCUCUCAUUGCGGACUGUUCUAAAGAUGGUACCCCCUCAGUACAAGUGACUGUUAAUGCAACCAUUCCAGUCAAAGGGGAUUUUGAAUUUAGGUGGUUUCAUAAUGAAGAUAGUCCGGUUUCAUGGAGCAAAGCAGCUACAGAGCUACAGCAGAAGGAAAUAACAAUUGAAUGUAAAAAAAAAGAAAAUACAGUGAAAAUCUCUUUCAAAAAUAAGAACCAACAAAACGUCACUGGAAGUAUAAACAUCCCAGUCCUGACUGCCGGCGAUCCAUUUUGCAAAGAGGAAAAAAUUGAUGACGUGGUUUGGCCAAAGACCCCUUUACGCGUGACAGUUGUCACUACCAAAUGCCCUCCUGGGAGGGUCGGGGAACGACAACGCUCUUGUGGAAACAGUAGCAAUUGGUUGAGUGUGCUGUCCAGCUGUGUCAGCGAGGAGUUAAAGAAAGUUUCAAAUGCAGCCGACAACUUUCUCCAGGGAGUUGGAGCCACCCAGGAAGUGGCUUUGAACAUAUUUGAAGGGAUGAGGAAUAAUUCCAAUUUGGGAAAUUCAACUGAUGGCAUUGCCGACAUCAGAGCCUCCGUGAAUAUAAUAGACACAAUGGCCCAGGCGACAAAAUACAUUAGUUUGACCGAGGACGUCUUCCCUGUAAGUCAUUUUUUGUGUUUUCACUUUAGCUUAACGGCAACAGCAGGUUAAGUUACUGUCUUUGAAAUGCAUCCUCACAUGUCCUCUGCA